rnacentral:tRNA from 1 species
ACCCGGCUAGCUCAAUUGGUAGAGCACGAGACUCUUUAUCUCGGGGUAGUGGGUUCGAGACCCACGUUGGGCG